UGGCUCAGAUUGAACGCUGGCGGCAGGCCUAACACAUGCAAGUCGAACGGUAGCAGRAAGAAGCUUGCUUCUUUGCUGACGAGUGGCGGACGGGUGAGUAAUGUCUGGGAAACUGCCCGAUGGAGGGGGAUAACUACUGGAAACGGUAGCUAAUACCGCAUAACGUCUUCGGACCAAAGAGGGGGACCUUCGGGCCUCUUGCCAUCGGAUGUGCCCAGAUGGGAUUAGCUAGUAGGUGGGGUAACGGCUCACCUAGGCGACGAUCCCUAGCUGGUCUGAGAGGAUGACCAGCCACACUGGAACUGAGACACGGUCCAGACUCCUACGGGAGGCAGCAGUGGGGAAUAUUGCACAAUGGGCGCAAGCCUGAUGCAGCCAUGCCGCGUGUAUGAAGAAGGCCUUCGGGUUGUAAAGUACUUUCAGCGGGGAGGAAGGGAGUGAGGUUAAUAACCUCAUUCAUGACGUACCCGCA
rnacentral:rRNA from 1 species